UACAGAGACCUCAAGCGUUAUCCGGAAUCAUUGGGCGUAAAGCGUACCGAUAGGUGGUUUUACAAGUCAGAAGUGAAAUCUCUCAGCUUAACUGGGAGACUGUCUUUUGAAACUGUAAAACUAGAGGGGCAAAGAGGAAGCUGGAACGAACGGUGUGGUAGUGAAAUGCGUUGAUAUCGUUCGGAACACCAAUAGCGUAGGCAGGCUUCUGGGUGCCACCUGACACUGCUAGGACGAAAGCGUGGGGAGCGAAUGGG
rnacentral:rRNA from 1 species